UCGGCCUGUCCCAUCCGACCCGUC
rnacentral:siRNA from 1 species